AACGAACGCUGGCGGCAGGCUUAACACAUGCAAGUCGAGCGCCCCGCAAGGGGAGCGGCAGACGGGUGAGUAACGCGUGGGAACGUACCUUUUGGUUCGGAACAACUCCGGGAAACUGGAGCUAAUACCGGAUAAGCCCUAACGGGGAAAGAUUUAUCGCCGAAAGAUCGGCCCGCGUCUGAUUAGCUAGUUGGUGAGGUAACGGCUCACCAAGGCGACGAUCAGUAGCUGGUCUGAGAGGAUGAUCAGCCACACUAGGACUGAGACACGGCCCAGACUCCUACGGGAGGCAGCAGUGGGGAAUAUUGGACAAUGGGCGCAAGCCUGAUCCAGCCAUGCCGCGUGAGUGAUGAAGGCCUUAGGGUUGUAAAGCUCUUUUGUCCGGGAAGAUAAUGACUGUACCGGAAGAAUAAGCCCCGGCUAACUUCGUG
rnacentral:rRNA from 1 species